UCAUCGUAUAGCGGUUAAUACGUUAGUCUAACAAGCUAAAAAUCUUCGGUUCGAAUCCGA
rnacentral:tRNA from 1 species